ACGUCUCAGUUCGGAUUGUAGUCUGCAACUCGACUACAUGAAGCUGGAAUCGCUAGUAAUCGCGAAUCAGAAUGUCGCGGUGAAUACGUUCCCGGGUCUUGUACACACCGCCCGUCACACCAUGGGAGUCGGAAAUGCCCGAAGUCUGUGACCCAACCUCAGGGAGGGAGCAGCCGAAGGCAGGUCGGAUGACUGGGGUGAAGUCGUAACAAGGUAUC
rnacentral:rRNA from 1 species